AACGAACGCUGGCGGCGUGGCUAAGGCAUGCAAGUCGAACGGAUCUAUCCAACGGGUAACUGAAGGGUAGAUUAGUGGCGAACGGGUGAGGAAUACGAUGGACAACGUACCCUGGACACGGGGAUAGCGGCGGGCCGCAAGGCUCUUUAGCGAAAGUGCCGGUAAUACCCGAUGAUCCCGCAUGGUCGCAUGAUCGUGUGGGCAAAGCUCCGACGGUCUGGGAUCGGCAUGCCCUAUCAGCUAGUUGGUGAGGUAACGGCUCACCAAGGCGGCGACGGGUACCGGCGUGAGAGCGUGACCCGGCACAUCGGAACUG
rnacentral:rRNA from 1 species